rnacentral:sRNA from 1 species
CCCUAGCCCCGAUGGGAGGGAAAAUCCUUUUGUGUCCGCCGCGGCGGCCACAAAAGAUUGGAAGGAACAGCGGGAUUAGCU